GCCUCCGUAGAUUAGUGAUUAAUCACCUCAUUUCCAUGAAUAAGCGAGAAGUGUGUAUUGAGGAGACGUGGGUUCAAAUCCCAUCGGAGGCA